rnacentral:rRNA from 1 species
AGAGUUUGAUUCUGGCUCAGAACGAACGCUGGCAGCGUGGAUUAGGCAUGCAAGUCGAACGGGAAGCCGUUGAUCAAUUCUUCGGAAGAGUGAUUCGGUGGAUAGUGGCGAAAGGGUGAGUAACGCGUGGGCAAUUUGCCCCCUACGUUGGGGAUAACACCUCGAAAGAGAUGCUAAUACCGAAUGUGGUCUUCUAACGCAUGUUAGAAUGACUAAAGAUGGGGAUCCUUCGGGACCUGUCGCUAGGGGAGAAGCCCGCGUCCGAUCAGCUUGUUGGUGAGGUAAUGGCUCACCAAGGCUACGACCGGUAGCUGGUCUGAGAGGAUGAUCAGCCACACUGGGACUGAGACACUGCCCAGACUCCUACGGGAGGCUGCAGUCGAGGAUCAUUCGCAAUGCGCGAAAGCGUGACGAUGCGACGCUGCGUGGAGGACGACGGCCCUAGGGUUGUAAACUCCUGUCAUAAGGGAAAAACUACGCGAGGGUUAACACCCCUUGCGCGUGAUGGUACCUUAAGAGGAAGCCACGGCUAACUCUGUGCCAGCAGCCGCGGUAAUACAGAGGUGGCGAGCGUUGUUCGGAUUUACUGGGCGUAAAGCGUGCGUAGGCGGUUUUGUAUGUCGGAUGUGAAAGCCCACGGCCCAACCGUGGAACUGCAUCCGAAACUGCAGGACUAGAGUACAGGAGGGGAGAGCGGAAUUCUUGGUGUAGCGGUGAAAUGCGUUGAUAUCAAGAGGAACACCGGUGGCGAAGGCGGCUCUCUGGAAUGUAACUGACGCUCAUGCACGAAAGUCGGGGGAGCAAACAGGAUUAGAUACCCUGGUAGUCCCGACCGUAAACGGUGUGUACUUGGUGUUGGAGGUAUUGACCCCUCCAGUGCCGGAGCUAACGCGUUAAGUACACCGCCUGGGGAGUACGGCCGCAAGGCUAAAACUCAAAGAAAUUGACGGGGGCCCGCACAAGCGGAGGAGCAUGUGGCUUAAUUCGAUGCAACGCGAAGAACCUUACCUGGGCUUGACAUGGUACUGCACGCCUCCUGAAAGGGAGGAAGCCUUCGAGGGUGUACCACAGGUUCUGCAUGGCUGUCGUCAGUUCGUGCCGUGAGGUGUUGGGUUAAGUCCCGCAACGAACGCAACCCUUGUGGUUAGUUGCCACCGCCGGUGAUGAGCCGGCGAGCACUCUAGCCAGACUGCCCGUACAAGCGGGAGGAAGGUGGGGAUGACGUCAAGUCCGUAUGGCCCUUACGCCCAGGGCUGCACACGUGCUACAAUGGCCGGUACAGAAGGAUGCAAUACUGCGAAGUGGAGCAAAUCCCCAAAACCGGCCUCAGUUCGGAUUGGAGUCUGCAACUCGACUCCAUGAAGUUGGAUUCGCUAGUAACGGCGUAUCAGCUACGACGCCGUGAAUACGUUCCCGGGCCUUGUACACACCGCCCGUCACAUCAUGAAAGCCGUCUGCACCCGAAGUCAAUAAGCCAACCCGCAAGGGAGGCAGUUGCCGAAGGUGUGGGUGGUGAUUGGGAUGAAGUCGUAACAAGGUA